UACGUAGGAGGCAAGCGUUGUCCGGAAUUACUGGGCGUAAAGCGCGUGUAGGUGGUGGGACAAGUCUGCUGUGAAAGCGCCUGGCUUAACCGGGCGAGGUCGGCGGAAACUGUUCGACUCGAGGACGGUAGAGGGGGGUGGAAUUCCCGGUGUAGUGGUGAAAUGCGUAGAGAUCGGGAGGAACACCUGUGGCGAAGGCGGCCCCCUGGGCCGGCCCUGACACUGAGACGCGAAGGCGUGGGGAGCGAACCGG
rnacentral:rRNA from 1 species